rnacentral:rRNA from 1 species
UCUCCGUAGGUGAACCUGCGGAGGGAUCAUUACACAAAUAUGAAGGCGGGCUGGAACCUCUCGGGGUUACAGCCUUGCUGAAUUAUUCACCCUUGUCUUUUGCGUACUUCUUGUUUCCUUGGUGGGUUCGCCCACCACUAGGACAAACAUAAACCUUUUGUAAUUGCAAUCAGCGUCAGUAACAAAUUAAUAAUUACAACUUUCAACAACGGAUCUCUUGGUUCUGGCAUCGAUGAAGAACGCAGCGAAAUGCGAUAAGUAGUGUGAAUUGCAGAAUUCAGUGAAUCAUCGAAUCUUUGAACGCACAUUGCGCCCUUUGGUAUUCCAAAGGGCAUGCCUGUUCGAGCGUCAUUUGUACCCUCAAGCUUUGCUUGGUGUUGGGCGUCUUGUCUCUAGCUUUGCUGGAGACUCGCCUUAAAGUAAUUGGCAGCCGGCCUACUGGUUUCGGAGCGCAGCACAAGUCGCACUCUCUAUCAGCAAAGGUCUAGCAUCCAUUAAGCCUUUUUUUCAACUUUUGACCUCGAUCAGGUAGGGAUACCCGCUGAACUUAAGCAUAUCAAUAAGCGGGAGGAA